GAGCACGAAGGUUGGCUAAUCCUGGUCGGACAUCAGGAGGUUAGUGCAAUGGCAUAAGCCAGCUUGACUGCGAGCGUGACGGCGCGAGCAGGUGCGAAAGCAGGUCAUAGUGAUCCGGUGGUUCUGAAUGGAAGGGCCAUCGCUCAACGGAUAAAAGGUACUCCGGGGAUAACAGGCUGAUACCGCCCAAGAGUUCAUAUCGACGGCGGUGUUUGGCACCUCGAUGUCGGCUCAUCACAUCCUGGGGCUGAAGUAGGUCCCAAGGGUAUGGCUGUUCGCCAUUUAAAGUGGUACGCGAGCUGGGUUUAGAACGUCGUGAGACAGUUCGGUCCCUAUCUGCCGUGGGCGCUGGAGAACUGAGGGGGGCUGCUCCUAGUACGAGAGGACCGGAGUGGACGCAUCACUGGUGUUCGGGUUGUCAUGCCAAUGGCACUGCCCGGU
rnacentral:rRNA from 1 species